GAUUCCGGGGGGAGUAUG
rnacentral:misc_RNA from 1 species